rnacentral:rRNA from 1 species
UUAAGUUAUUAAGGGCGCACGGUGGAUGCCUUGGCACUAGAAGCCGAUGAAGGACGUUACUAACGACGAUAUGCUUUGGGGAGCUGUAAGUAAGCUUUGAUCCAGAGAUUUCCGAAUGGGGAAACCCAGCAUGAGUUAUGUCAUGUUAUCGAUAUGUGAAUACAUAGCAUAUCAGAAGGCACACCCGGAGAACUGAAACAUCUUAGUACCCGGAGGAAGAGAAAGAAAAUUCGAUUCCCUUAGUAGCGGCGAGCGAAACGGGAAGAGCCCAAACCAACAAGCUUGCUUGUUGGGGUUGUAGGACACUCUAUACGGAGUUACAAAGGACGACAUUAGACGAAUCAUCUGGAAAGAUGAAUCAAAGAAGGUAAUAAUCCUGUAGUCGAAAAUGUUGUCUCUCUUGAGUGGAUCCUGAGUACGACGGAGCACGUGAAAUUCCGUUGGAAUCUGGGAGGACCAUCUCCUAAGGCUAAAUACUCUCUAGUGACCGAUAGUGAACCAGUACCGUGAGGGAAAGGUGAAAAGCACCCCGGAAGGGGAGUGAAACAGAACCUGAAACCGUGUGCUUACAAGUAGUCAGAGCCUGUUAAUGGGUGAUGGCGUGCCUUUUGUAGAAUGAACCGGCGAGUUACGAUUUGAUGCAAGGUUAAGCAGUAAAUGUGGAGCCGUAGCGAAAGCGAGUCUGAAUAGGGCGUUUAGUAUUUGGUCGUAGACCCGAAACCAGGUGAUCUACCCUUGGUCAGGUUGAAGUUCAGGUAACACUGAAUGGAGGACCGAACCGACUUACGUUGAAAAGUGAGCGGAUGAACUGAGGGUAGCGGAGAAAUUCCAAUCGAACCUGGAGAUAGCUGGUUCUCUCCGAAAUAGCUUUAGGGCUAGCCUCAAGUGAUGAUUAUUGGAGGUAGAGCACUGUUUGGACGAGGGGCCCCUCUCGGGUUACCGAAUUCAGACAAACUCCGAAUGCCAAUUAAUUUAACUUGGGAGUCAGAACAUGGGUGAUAAGGUCCGUGUUCGAAAGGGAAACAGCCCAGACCACCAGCUAAGGUCCCAAAAUAUAUGUUAAGUGGAAAAGGAUGUGGCGUUGCCCAGACAACUAGGAUGUUGGCUUAGAAGCAGCCAUCAUUUAAAGAGUGCGUAAUAGCUCACUAGUCGAGUGACACUGCGCCGAAAAUGUACCGGGGCUAAACAUAUUACCGAAGCUGUGGAUUGUCCUUUGGACAAUGGUAGGAGAGCGUUCUAAGGGCGUUGAAGCAUGAUCGUAAGGACAUGUGGAGCGCUUAGAAGUGAGAAUGCCGGUGUGAGUAGCGAAAGACGGGUGAGAAUCCCGUCCACCGAUUGACUAAGGUUUCCAGAGGAAGGCUCGUCCGCUCUGGGUUAGUCGGGUCCUAAGCUGAGGCCGACAGGCGUAGGCGAUGGAUAACAGGUUGAUAUUCCUGUACCACCUAUAAUCGUUUUAAUCGAUGGGGGGACGCAGUAGGAUAGGCGAAGCGUGCGAUUGGAUUGCACGUCUAAGCAGUAAGGCUGAGUAUUAGGGAAAUCCGGUACUCAUUAAGGCUGAGCUGUGAUGGGGAGAAGACAUUGUGUCUUCGAGUCGUUGAUUUCACACUGCCGAGAAAAGCCUCUAGAUAGAAAAUAGGUGCCCGUACCGCAAACCGACACAGGUAGUCAAGAUGAGAAUUCUAAGGUGAGCGAGCGAACUCUCGUUAAGGAACUCGGCAAAAUGACCCCGUAACUUCGGGAGAAGGGGUGCUCUUUAGGGUUAACGCCCAGAAGAGCCGCAGUGAAUAGGCCCAAGCGACUGUUUAUCAAAAACACAGGUCUCUGCUAAACCGUAAGGUGAUGUAUAGGGGCUGACGCCUGCCCGGUGCUGGAAGGUUAAGAGGAGUGGUUAGCUUCUGCGAAGCUACGAAUCGAAGCCCCAGUAAACGGCGGCCGUAACUAUAACGGUCCUAAGGUAGCGAAAUUCCUUGUCGGGUAAGUUCCGACCCGCACGAAAGGCGUAACGAUUUGGGCACUGUCUCAACGAGAGACUCGGUGAAAUCAUAGUACCUGUGAAGAUGCAGGUUACCCGCGACAGGACGGAAAGACCCCGUGGAGCUUUACUGUAGCCUGAUAUUGAAAUUCGGCACAGCUUGUACAGGAUAGGUAGGAGCCUUUGAAAC